CGGCUUCUCAGGAGAGAAUGCGGACUCUCGAAAGGUUCGCCGGACUGGCGUUCUCCAGGCGACAACAGCUGCUGAAUGCGCAAGCGGCGCACGGGCUGGGUGGAUUCCCUAUCCAGGCCGGUCGGGGCUAAAAGGGAGGAUCGAGCUGAGUCCUUAAGAUCGGUACCACGGGUUGUGCAGUUCCAAGGCUGCACAUUGAGGUCGGCCCCCUAGUGGGAGUAUCGUGGUGGCUGUGGUUGAUACCCAAACGUUACGCGGGGAGAGCCGCUAGGCUCCUCGUGGAGUUGCGCUCUCAACCGGGUGCCGAGACCCAUAGAUCGGAAGACGUGUUAGAUACACCUCGCCCCUCACCAAGGGGGAUUGUAUGCCCGACCAGGAUACUUUCAAUUGGUACCAGAAGAGUCGCUAUGUACAUAGCUAUAGCUUCUUUUUAGGGGCGCUAACUGGCGCAUUGUACCAGGUUCCUGCGUAUGUAGCGGUGGUGCGUGAUGGCGUGAUAUAUGUAAAUAUAUCGCACUAAUCGAGGCUAAGCUGCAAAUAAACAUUAGACGCCGUGGUUGAAAUCCCUCCCUGAGGAACCGCCACGUAAAAUAAAGCUGAGUGAUCAGAUUCAUUCUGUCCCUAUCUACUAUCUAGCGAAACCACAGCCAAGGGAACGGGCUUGGAAUAAUUAGCGGGGAAAGAAGACCCUUUUGAGCUUGACUCUAAUCUGGCAGUGUAAGGAGACAUAAGAGGUGUAGCAUAAGUGGGAGAUAUUAGAUUUCGGUUUGGUAUCGACAAUGAAAUACCACUACUCUUAUUGUUUCCUUACUUACUUGAUUAAAUGGAACGUGUAUCAUUUCCUAGCCAUUAUACGGAUAUAUUUAUUAUAUCUUAUGGUAUUGGGUUUUGAUGCAAGCUUCUUGAUCAAAGUAUCACGAGUUUGUUAUAUAAUCGCAAACAAAUUCUUUAAUGAGAAAAUGCAUUUAUGUAUUUUCAAUUUGAAAAUUUGGUAUAACUCCAAUUACUCAGGUAUGAUCCAAUUCAAGGACAUUGCCAGGUAGGGAGUUUGACUGGGGCGGUACAUCUCUCAAAUAAUAACGGAGGUGUCCCAAGGCCAGCUCAGUGCGGACAGAAACCACACAUAGAGCAAAAGGGCAAAUGCUGACUUGAUCUCGGUGUUCAGUACACACAGGGACAGCAAAAGCUCGGCCUAUCGAUCCUUUUGGUUUAAAGAGUUUUUAACAAGAGGUGUCAGAAAAGUUACCAUAGGGAUAACUGGCUUGUGGCGGCCAAGCGUUCAUAGCGACGUCGCUUUUUGAUCCUUCGAUGUCGGCUCUUCCUAUCAUUGUGAAGCAAAAUUCACCAAGCGUUGGAUUGUUCACCCAUGCAAGGGAACGUGAGCUGGGUUUAGACCGUCGUGAGACAGGUUAGUUUUACCCUACUAAUGACAAAACGUUGUUGCGACAGCAUUCCUGCGUAGUACGAGAGGAACCGCAGGUACGGACCAAUGGCACAAUACUUGUUCGAGCGAACAGUGGUAUGACGCUACGUCCGUUGGAUUAUGCCUGAACGCCUCUAAGGUCGUAUCCGUGCUGGACUGCAAUGAUAAAUAAGGGGCAAUUUGCAUUGUAUGGCUUCUAAACCAUUAAAAGUUUAUAAUUUAUUUUAUAAACGACAAUGGAUGUGAUGCCAAUGUAAUUUGUAACAUAGUAAAUUGGGAGGAUCAUCGAUCACCUGAUGCCGCGCUAGUUGCAUAUAAAAACAUUAUUUAAUACAAUGACAAAGCCUAGAAUCAAUUGUAAACGACUUUUGAUAACAGGCAAGGUGUUGUAAGUGGUUGAGCAGCUGCCAUACU
rnacentral:ncRNA from 1 species